rnacentral:rRNA from 1 species
GACAGAGGUGCCGAGCGUUAGGCGGAAUCACUGGGCGUAAAGCGUGUGUAGGCGGGCCGUUAAGUGUCUUGUGAAAUCCCCCGGCUCAACCGGGGAAUUGCUGGGCAUACUGGCGGUCUUGAGCAAUCUAGGGGCAGAUGGAACAAGUGGUGGAGCGGUGAAAUGCGUAGAUAUCACUUGGAACGCCAACGGUGAAGACAGUCUGCUGGGGAUUUGCUGACGCUGAGACACGAAAGCCAGGGGAGCGAACGGG